CCCCUGUCCCCCAUUCCCCAUCCCUGUUUCAGCUUCAGCCUUCACCUUCCUCUUCCUCCCCAGUGCCCCACCUGUGCUCACAGUCAGCUGAGCGGCCGGGCCCCUCCCUGGGCUGGGCUCAGCUAUAAGUGCCUGGGCCGGGCACAGGGUGCAGAGGGAGUUGGAAGCUGCUGCAGGCACGGCCCCGCAGCCAUGGCCACGCUCUACCCCUCCCUGGAGGACAUGAAGGGUCACCAGCUCCUGCAGGCGCAGGCAGCAGCCGGGGUGAGGACACCCCCCACAACCGUGGUCACGGAGAAGCCAAAGCUCAGCUCAGACACCAGUAACACAGGUUGGGACCGGGGCUGUCUGAGGGGAGGGGGCACAGUGGUUACUAUGGGGGGCUCAGCUGAGACCCCUCACAUCCCAUUGCAUGGGCAGGGGAUGGAGGCCGGGGGGUCCCAGGCAGGGAGGCAAUGGCUGUGGGUUGGGAACCACCAUCCCUGAGGCCACCCCCUGUCCCCACAGCACCGCCUGUGCUGUACCCCAACCUGGCCGAGCUGGAGGACUACAUGGGGCUGUCCCUGUCCAGCCAGGAGAUCCAGAAGAACCUGCUCCCAGACAGCAGCGGCUCCGUAGGUGUCCCUGUGCUGCAGCAUCACUGCUGAGCACAGACCCCAUGCAC
rnacentral:lncRNA from 14 species